CAGAGCAGACGGCGGAUCCAGCCACCCGUCGACCCACCAACACCGCCAGUCGUCUCCAUUAUCCCCAGCGCUCGCUCUCACCGCACAGGGCGAAACGGACGGCGGCGGCUGGUAAAAGCGGAUCCGGCAACGCAGCUUCCCUUUGGGCCACAAAGAACUCCCAGACCCAAAAUAUACUCCGUAUAUAUAUUAUAACGGGAACAGAUUUUCUGAUCCCCCAAUCCAACUAGGAGUAGUUCCGAUCAAGAGCCAGCAGCAACGAGUUUCCCCGGAACCCUAAAUCAACGAUCCUCCGAUUCUCUCGGCGGCCCGCCCACGCCCUCGCUCCAAUCAGACGUGACGAACUGAUCGAGGGCCGGAAAGAUGCAGAAAAGCAAGAAGAUGGGUAAUCACACAAAAAGCUUGAGAAAGGUGCAAAGCACCACUAGAAAAAAGAACAACUGUGGGAGCAAUCGCAAAAGAGUCUGGAAAGAUAAUAUCAGUCAUCAGGAGGAGGCUGAUGCUGCUUCUGAUAAACAUUUUGUCAAGUCAUUUGCUUGAUCGAGAUGUUUCCAGCCCUAAGUUUGAAGAGCAACAAUUUGGCAGCGUAUACGAAAGCGAUCAAGAUCACUGGUGUCAACUCAAUUAAAGAGUAGCUUCACAUUUGUCUAUCGAAGUUGUCUCGCUUGCUUUGCUCGAUGGUGAUUAUGCUGCUUUAUAUAUGAUUAUGAGA